rnacentral:rRNA from 1 species
GGGGAAUUUUGCGCAAUGGACGAAAGUCUGACGCAGCAACGCCGCGUGGGUGAUGAAGGUCUUCGGAUUGUAAAACCCUGUCGUCGGGGACGAAGGUACGGGCGUUAAUAGCGUUCGUGUUUGACGGUACCCGGAGAGGAAGCCCCGGCUAACUCUGUGCCAGCAGCCGCGGUAAUACAGAGGGGGCAAGCGUUAUUCGGAAUUAUUGGGCGUAAAGGGCGCGUAGGCGGUGAUUCAAGUUGGAUGUGUAAUCCCCGGGCUCAACCUGGGAACUGCAUCCAAGACUGGAUCGCUAGAGUGCUGGAGAGGGUGGUGGAAUUCCUCGUGUAGCGGUGAAAUGCGUAGAGAUGAGGAGGAACACCAGUGGCGAAGGCGGCCACCUGGACAGUAACUGACGCUGAGGCGCGAAAGUGUGGGGAGCAAAC